UUAAAGUUGUUGCAGUUAAAAAGCUCGUAGUUGAACCUUGAACCUGGCUGGCCGGUCCGCCUCACCGCGUGCACUGGUCCGGCCGGGYUUUUCCUUCUGGGGAGCCGCAUGCCCUUCACUGGGUGUGUCGGGGAACCAGGACUUUUACUUUGAAAAAAUUAGAGUGUUCAAAGCAGGCCUAUGCUCGAAUACAUUAGCAUGGAAUAAUA
rnacentral:rRNA from 1 species